CAUAAUAAGAAAUUGGUUGGAAGGUUUUUGCCACUUGUUGGAGGAAAGAACUGGAAAAUGAAAAUAAGUCUUUAAGAGGUACUUGUACAACCAUUGUCAACAAGCCAGCAUUGGUGAAAGGAGGUAUAAUGACAUUUCAUGUGUGGUCUUUGUACUUGAUUUACAAUUCUUCGGAAUUAUCGGCAUCACUAAAUUUGAAUUUCAGGCAGGUUUUGACUUCCGUGCUUUCUCUAUAUAGUACAGGGUUUAUACUGAAUUUUUGUUUCAUUUGAUUUGAUAUGAUAUGGUUCAAAUCUACGUAAUAUUUUUAGUGGAAUGAUGUAGAUGGUAAUAUUUUUGUUUUUGGCAUUGAAUACAGUUUUGCUUUUUAAAUUUGUUUUGUAUCUUGCCACCGUAUGAUCAACGUAUUUAAGCAUGGUUUGAUAUGGAGAUUGGUCUUAUGGCUUACAACUCGAUGAAUUACGAGUUAUUAUAUCUUGACAG
rnacentral:lncRNA from 1 species